UUGAUUGUUGGUCAUGAUAUUCCCUGGCAAGGUGCCAGAAAUCCUUCUUGACACUUGUGAUUUGCGUUGGGUUUUCGUGAAGAGGAACGGGUAACAGUAGCACAAUACGCGUAAGUAUUUCCCUCAGUUAAGAAACCAAGGUUUAUCGAACCAAUAGGAAUAUAACUACUCGACUAUCUUCAACUGUUGCACAUAAAAGAGAAAACAACUUCACCCAACGGGGGCAACAGGGUUGUCAAUCCCCUUGAUCUCAUUAUUGGCAAGCGAAUGAGGUGUGAAGAUAACUGUAGACAAUUGUAACUUGAAAACUAAAA
rnacentral:lncRNA from 1 species